UACGGGGGGGGCAAGCGUUGUUCGGAAUUACUGGGCGUAAAGGGCGCGUAGGCGGCCCGCUAAGUUAGAUGUGAAAACUCUGGGCUCAACCCAGAGCCUGCAUCUAAUACUGACGGGCUAGAGUUCUGGAGGGGGUAGCGGAAUUCCUGGUGUAGCGGUGAAAUGCGUAGAUAUCAGGAGGAACACCGGUGGCGAAGGCGGCUACCUGGACAGAGUCUGACGCUGAGGCGCGAAAGCUAGGGGAGCAAACAGG
rnacentral:rRNA from 1 species